rnacentral:rRNA from 1 species
UACGGGGGGGGCAAGCGUUGUCCGGAAUCAUUGGGCGUAAAGAGCUCGUAGGCGGUUUGUCGCGUCUGCCGUGAAAGUCCGGGGCUCAACUCCGGAUCUGCGGUGGGUACGGGCAGACUAGAGUGAUGUAGGGGAGACUGGAAUUCCUGGUGUAGCGGUGAAAUGCGCAGAUAUCAGGAGGAACACCGAUGGCGAAGGCAGGUCUCUGGGCAUUAACUGACGCUGAGGAGCGAAAGCAUGGGGAGCGAACAGG